rnacentral:misc_RNA from 1 species
UCCGGUUUGACACCGGCAGUCUCGCUAGAGUCCUCGCCAUGACGCGUUAGCAACUAGAGAUAGGGGUUUCGCUCGUUAAGGGACUUAACCCGACACUUCACAGCACGAGCUGACGACAGCCAUGCAGCACCUGUGUAUGUUGUACCCGAAGGCCUCAUUCCGAUUUCUCGGAACUAAUCCAUACAUGUCAAGCCCAGGAUAAGGUUCUUCGCGUUGCUUCGAAUUGAGCCACAUGCUCCACCGCUUGUGUGAGCCCCCGUCAAUUCCUUUGAGUUUUAGCCUUGCGACCGUACUCCCCAGGCGGCGCACUUAGCAUUUUAACUUCGACCAUGGCGGCGUCAGAGCCUCCACGAUCUAGUGCGCAUCGUUUAGGGCGUGGACUA